GCCAAUCACACACACAGCAGUUAGACAUGACUUCCUUUCCUGUUCUGGGGCAGCAGCAGCUUGGAGCUCAGUAGUACCUCCCUCACCCUAUCAGCCUUCCCACCCAGUACAGAGCACUGGAGUCAAAGAAGAAUUUCUUCUGAAGGAAGAAGGCAAACAUGGUGCUGCCCAGACUGCUGAAACUGGUCAUAGUGUCCAUGUGGCUGGGAUCCAGUUUUGCCCAGAAGGUGACUCAAGCCCAGCCAGCCAUGUGGGUGCAAGAGAAGGAGGCUGUGAGCCUGCACUGCUCCUAUGACACCAGUGCUGGAAGUUAUGAUCUCCUCUGGUACAAGCAGCCCAGCAGUGGGGAGAUGGUCUUCCUCAUCCUUCAGAACUCUUACAGCCAGCAAAAUGCCACAGAAGGUCGCUACUCAGUGAAUUUGCAGAAGGCAAGCAAAUCCAUUCAACUUGUCAUCUCAGCCUCACAGCUGGGGGACUCAGCAGUGUAUUUCUGUGCACUGAGAGAUAGAUAGCACAGUGAGAGAACUGUUGG